AGCAGCCGCGGUAAUUCCAGCUCCAAUAGCGUAUAUUAAAGUUGUUGCAGUUAAAAAGCUCGUAGUUGAAUUUCGGGAUUAGUACGUCGGUCGUGCCUUCGGUACGUACUGGUGUUACUGAUUCCUACCUUCUGACGAACCAUCAUGUCAUUAAUUUGGUGUGGCGGGGAAUCAGGACUGUUACUUUGAAAAAAUUAGAGUGUUUAAAGCAGGCUCGCGCUUGAAUACAUUAGCAUGGAAUAAUGAAAUAGGACGUUGACCCUAUUUUGUUGGUUUCUAGGAUUGACGUAAUGAUUAAUAGGGAUAGUUGGGGGCAUUAGUAUUCAAUUGUCAGAGGUGAAAUUCUUGGAUUUAUUGAAGACUAACUACUGCGAAAGCAUUUGCCAAGGAUGUUUUCAUUAAUCAAGAACGAAAGUUAGGGGAUCGAAGACGAUCAGAUACCGUCGUAGUCUUAACCAUAAACUAUGCCGACUAGGGAUCGGAUGAUGUUAUUUUUAAUGACUCAUUCGGCGCCUUACG
rnacentral:rRNA from 2 species